UACGUAGGGUGCAAGCGUUUGUCCGGAAUUAUUGGGCGUAAAGAGCUCGUAGGCGGCUUGUCACGUCGACUGUGAAAACCCGAGGCUCAACCUCGGGCCUGCAGUCGAUACGGGCAGGCUGGAGUUCGGUAGGGGAGACUGGAAUUCCUGGUGUAGCGGUGAAAUGCGCAGAUAUCAGGAGGAACACCGGUGGCGAAGGCGGGUCUCUGGGCCGAUACUGACGCUGAGGAGCGAAAGCGUGGGGAGCGAACAGG
rnacentral:rRNA from 1 species